rnacentral:lncRNA from 10 species
GCUCCACCCAGUUCGAGCUUCCUGGCUGCUUUGUUUACCUAAGCAAGCCUGGGCAAUGGUGGGCGCCCCUCCCCCAGCCUGGCUGCUGCCUUGCAGUUUGAUCUCAGACUGCUGUGCUAGCAAUCAGCGAGACUCCGUGGGGUAGGACCCUCAGAGCCAGGUGCGGGGUAUAAUCUCGUGGUGCGCCGUUUUUUAAGCCCGUCGGAAAAGCGCAGUAUUCGGGUGGGAGUGACCCGAUUUUCCAGGUGCUGUCCGUCACCCCUUUCUUUGAUUAGGAAAGGAACUCCCUGACCCCUUGCGCUUCCCGAGUGAGGCAAUGCCUCGCCCUGCUUCGGCUCGCGCACGGUGCGCGCACCCACUGACCUGCGCCCACUGUCUGGCACUCCCUAGUGAGAUGAACCCGGUACCUCAGAUGGAAAUGCAGAAAUCACCCGUCUUCUGCGUCGCUCAGGCUGGGAGCUGUAGACUGGAGCUGUUCCUUUUCGGCCAUCUUGGCGCCUCCCUCAGCCCACAUGUGAAUCACAGCUUCUACUGCAUGCCCACUCCUUUUGCCUAAAUAUGCAGUUAUCAUCAUACAUCCAGAAUUGCCCUCUGAAAUAAUCACAGACUCCCACUGGCACAAAGAAGAACACAUCACCUAGUCUUGGAAAGAGGAGGAAGUAAGGAAAGUCUUCCAGGAGCCC